rnacentral:tRNA from 1 species
CUUUAGCUUAAUUAGAGAGCAUUAGUUUGAAGAGCUGCAGGUAGUUGUGACUAGG